rnacentral:rRNA from 1 species
CCUACGGGAGGCAGCAGUGGGGAAUAUUGCACAAUGGGGGAAACCCUGAUGCAGCGACGCCGCGUGAGCGAAGAAGUAUUUCGGUAUGUAAAGCUCUAUCAGCAGGGAAGAAAAUGACGGUACCUGAGUAAGAAGCUCCGGCUAAAUACGUGCCAGCAGCCGCGGUAAUACGUAUGGAGCAAGCGUUAUCCGGAUUUACUGGGCGUAAAGGGAGCGUAGGCGGCCUGCCAAGUCUGAUGUGAAAUACCGGGGCUCAACCCCGGGGCUGCAUUGGAAACUGGCAGGCUGGAGUGUCGGAGAGGCAGGCGGAAUUCCUAGUGUAGCGGUGAAAUGCGUAGAUAUUAGGAGGAACACCAGUGGCGAAGGCGGCCUGCUGGACGGUGACUGACGCUGAGGCUCGAAAGCGUGGGGAGCAAACAGGAUUAGAUACCCCGGUAGUC